GGGCCCGUAGCUCAAUGGUUAGAGCACCUCAUUUGCAAUGAGGAGGUUAUGGGUUCAAGUCCCUUCGGGUCCA
rnacentral:tRNA from 1 species